rnacentral:rRNA from 1 species
UACGUAGGGUGCGAGCGUUGUCCGGAAUUAUUGGGCGUAAAGGGCUCGUAGGCGGUUUGUCGCGUCGGGAGUGAAAACCCAGGGCUUAACCCUGGGCUGGCUUCCGAUACGGGCAGACUAGAGGUAUGCAGGGGAGAACGGAAUUCCUGGUGUAGCGGUGAAAUGCGCAGAUAUCAGGAGGAACACCGGUGGCGAAGGCGGCGAUCUGGGAAGAUACUGACGCUGAGGUGCGAAAGCGUGGGGAGCAAACAGG